AUACUUACUGGAGGAGAGAUGUCAUGAUCAGGUGAUCAGGAAAAUGGUUUUCCCAGGGGAAGGCUCACCCAUCGCACUCUGGAUGUGCUGACCCUGCGAUUUCCCCAAAUUCGGGAAACUCCAGUGCAUAAUUUGUGGUAGUGAAGGAUUGCUUUUAUGAUUUUCCCUUA